UCCCCGAUAGCUCAGUGGUAGAGCGGGCGGCUGUUAACCGCUAGGUCGUAGGUUCGAAUCCUUCUCGGGGAGCCA
rnacentral:tRNA from 2 species